rnacentral:misc_RNA from 2 species
CCGAGUUUUUACAACUCCCAAACCCACUGUGAACCUUUAUAACGUUGCUUCGGCGCUGCGUCCCAGGCCUCCGUGCCUGGACCCAGGCGCUCGCCGAGGGCCCCAAACUCUUGUUUUUACAGAAGCAGUCUGAGUGGCGUAAUGCAAACAAAUGAAUCA